rnacentral:rRNA from 1 species
UACGAAGGGGACUAGCGUUGUUCGGAAUCACUGGGCGUAAAGGAUGCGUAGGCGGGUCUUUAAGUCAGGGGUGAAAUCCUGGAGCCCAACUCCAGAACUGCCCUCGAUACUGAUGAGCUCGAGUCCGGGAGAGGUGAGUGGAACUGCGAGUGUAGAGGUGAAAUUCGUAGAUAUUCGCAAGAACACCAGUGGCGAAGGCGGCUCACUGGCCCGGUACUGACGCUGAGGUGCGAAAGCGUGGGGAGCAAACAGG